rnacentral:rRNA from 1 species
GACGAACGCUGGCGGCGUGCUUAACACAUGCAAGUCGAACGGAAAGGCCCCCUUGUGGGGUACUCGAGUGGCGAACGGGUGAGUAACACGUGAGUAACCUACCCUUGACUUUGGGAUAACUUCAGGAAACUGGGGCUAAUACCGGAUAGGAGCUCCUGCUGCAUGGUGGGGGUUGGAAAGUUUCGGCGGUUGGGGAUGGACUCGCGGCUUAUCAGCUUGUUGGUGGGGUAGUGGCUCACCAAGGCUUUGACGGGUAGCCGGCCUGAGAGGGUGACCGGCCACAUUGGGACUGAGAUACGGCCCAGACUCCUACGGGAGGCAGCAGUGGGGAAUAUUGCACAAUGGGCGGAAGCCUGAUGCAGCAACGCCGCGUGCGGGAUGACGGCCUUCGGGUUGUAAACCGCUUUCGCCUGUGACGAAGCGUGAGUGACGGUAAUGGGUAAAGAAGCACCGGCUAACUACGUG